UACGUAGGGUGCUAGCGUUGUCCGGAAUUACUGGGCGUAAAGCGUGCGUAGACGGUUAUGUAAGUCGGAUGUGAAAGCCCCGGGCUUAACCUGGGAAUUGCAUUCGAGACUGCAUAGCUAGGAUGCGGAAGAGGGAAGUGGAAUUUCCGGUGUAGCGGUGAAAUGCGUAGAUAUCGGAAGGAACAUCAGUGGCGAAAGCGACUUCCUGGUCCAGCAUCGACGUUCAGGCACGAAAGCGUGGGGAGCAAACAGG
rnacentral:rRNA from 1 species